rnacentral:lncRNA from 1 species
UCAUCCCACAUGAGCGUGGGGACCACGCCUGCUGCCUCACCCCUCUCUCCGCAGGUGCCGGUGUUGGGGGGGUGCCAGGAGCCGUACCUGGUGUGGGCGGAGUGCCUGGAGUGACACCUGGUGUUGGUGGCGUGCCCGGCUUGGUGCCAGGGGUAGGAGUACCUGGAACUGGCAUCAUUCCUGGGGCAGGCAUCCCCCAAGUAGGGGUGCAACCUGGUGCUAAACCUCCCAAAUUUGGUGUUCCUGGGGUUGGAGUCCCAGGGGUUGGUGGCCUCCCAGGUGGCCUUGGAGUCGGUGGGCUCGGAGUUGGUGGCCUCGGCGUUGGAGUUCCAGGCUUCGGCGUAUCACCGGUAUUUCCAGGUGGGGUCGGCGGCCUGGGAUUCGGUGGUGAGUAUCCAUUCUCCCCGCGGGGUGUUUUGGGGUGGGGGGGAACCCCGCGGGGAUCUCGCUCACCCUGCUCUGCCUUCCCGCUGCAGGGAAGCCCCCCAAACCCUACGGAGGAGCUCUGGGUGCCCUGGGCUUUAGAGGUGAGUGCGGUCCCCGCUGCCAGGGGGCUGUGCUGCCCCCAGUCCCUCUCCCGUCCCUGCGGCGGCUCGCAGGGAGGGCUGACCCGCAUCCCCCGCGGCAGGCGGCGCGGGCUGCGCGGCAGGGAAGUACUGCGGGAGGAAGCGGAAGUAACGCUCCGUCACCGAUCACCUCAUGAACUUUGGUGCUACUGCAUGGUCCAGAAUGUAAAUCCGAGCGAAGCUGAGACACCCUCUCCUCAAGCCCCGGACCGCCCCCGUCCAUCCCGGGGCCGUGCCCGGCCCCGCGUUCCCCGGAGGGACCCCGCGUUCCCCGGCAGCGUCCGGCCCCCCCCGCCCCUCGGUCCCGGCAGGGAGCGCGGAAUAAACUGCGGGGAGCAGCCGUCCCCCUUGGUGCUAUCGCUCUCUGCGGGAUUUGGGGGGGUCUGGGCUGUCGCGCCCCUCCCCAGCCCCAGAGCUGACCCCGGGGGGGGGGGACACAGGAUGGGGGGCACCCCACAUUGGAGGAAGGGAGGGAGGGAGGGUGGGAAGGGGAUGCCGGCAGCGGGGGCUGUGCGGGGAGGGAUGGCCCCGUCAGCCUGGCCCCCACCCCAGUCCCCGCGCCCCCCCGGUUUGGGGGGGUCGCGGGCAGGAGGGGCUCAGUCCCUUCACGUUGCUCACUUUGCUAUAACUGGGUGGGACGCCCUAUACAGAGGGACUCGCUUCUGACAGACUAAUAAAGGACAAGUUUUUAAAGGAUUCUGUGUUCCA